rnacentral:rRNA from 1 species
UCCGUAGGCGGGCUAAUAAGUCAGGGGUGAAAUCCCACAGCUCAACUGUGGAACUGCCUUUGAUACUGUUAGUCUUGAGUUAUAUGGAAGUAGAUAGAAUGUGUAGUGUAGCGGUGAAAUGCAUAGAUAUUACACAGAAUACCGAUUGCGAAGGCAGUCUACUAACUAACAACUGACGCUAAUGGACGAAAGCGUGGGGAGCGAACAGGAUUAGAUACCCUGGUAGUC